UCCGCGGUAGGCUCGACGAGCAGAAGGGGACGAAGCAGCAGUGCGCUGUGACCUAGCAAGUCUAGCAGCAGAGAAUCUCAGCGGCCCUACUGUCCUCGUCGUCAAAGGCCGGGAACGUAACUCGUACGGCGUACCACGAUAAGAAAAGUAGCAUUAGCCACCAGCCUUUUACUCGUCAUUGGUUAGUACGAUUCCCUUGUGAUUAUGAGUUUGUUACUGAUUGCGUGUCCGACGAAUGGUCAAGCAAGCAGUCGUCGGGACUCAGAAGUUUGUUACUCUUCAGUUGUUGUAGCCCCAGCGAGCUUUCUACUAUGAAAAAGUCUAAAUUACUCCUUAAAGUA
rnacentral:lncRNA from 1 species